rnacentral:lncRNA from 10 species
GUGAGCAAUAGGAGACUAAGUCCAUGAUAUUUUUUUCCUACCCCUCAACACCCUUCACACACAGAAACUGACAAUGGACCCACAUCUUUAGUCUUGAGGGGGACAGGGCAUUGGUGGGCUGGUAAAUGUUUAACAACUGGUUCUCUAGAAGGAAAAUGUGACUUGUAAUAUUUGACGAUUUCCAUAGUGUAAAUACUCCCAUCAUGGCCAAUGUCAAGCUCCAACAGCACAUCACUGAACUUUGAGUUGGAAAGAAAUAUGCACACUAGGCUUUUGUGAGCUGUCUCAAGCUGGCUUCAUCACAUUAGCAGGAAAGGUAAGAGCUGUGGGUAUGAGAUUAUAAUUCUGUAAUGAAAAAUCAUAAGAAUUAGUAAAAAUGAGAUCAUUUUAUUAAUUGAAAAGUGAUAACAUCAGAUUGAGGAGUUUUCAAAGUUUCUGAUAGAUGUCCAGUGGGAAAAAGGAUUGGAUACAACACAAUUAGUAGCAGUUAUUAAAAAAAUAAAAGUUGUUUGUUGUUUCUAACUUACGAAGUGGGGAUUUUUAAUCAACCCAGUCAUAGAAUUCUUGGAUACACAGCCAAGCAGUAAACUAAGAGAGGAAAUUUACCACAGGGGGAGCUCAAAGGUAGCAUAGCGGAGCUAGAUGUAAAAGAAUUAAAGUUGCUGUGUAUAAGUCUUUAACCUCCUUGGUUUACUUUAUACCUAAGCAUGCUAUUAUAUGAAAUUGUUUUCUUAAUUUCCUUUUUAGGUGUUCAUUAUUAGUAUAUAGAAAUACAACUGAUUUUUGUAUGCAGAUUUUGUAUCCUAUAACUUUACCAAAUUCACUUAUUCAUUCUAAUAGUUUUUUUUUUUUUUUUGGAGUCUUUAGGGUUUUCUACCUGUAAAAUUAUGUAAUCUCCAAACAGAGCUCAUUUUACUUCUUCCUUCUUGGGUAGUUGCCAGGGGCUGGGGGGAGGAAGAAAGAGAGGGUUGUUUAAUGGGAUAAAGUUUUAGAUGAAUGUGUUCUAGAGAUACACUAUACAGCAUAGUGCCUAUAGUUAACAACAUUACAUUAUGAACUUAAAAAUUUGUUAAGAAAGACCAAUGACACAGAAGAAAGAACCCAGAAAUAAAUUCAUUUAUUUACAGUCAGUUGAUCAUUGACAGAGUUACCAAGAACACACAAUGGGGAAAGGACAGUCUCUUCAAUAAAUGCUGAGAAAACUGGAUAUCCACAUGCAGAAGAAUGUAAUUAGACCCUUAAUUCAUACCACAUACAAAAAUCAACUGAAAGUGGAUUAAAGACUUAAACAUUAGAUCUGAAACUGUAAAACUACUAGAAGAAAACAUAGAGAAAAAGCUUCUUGACAUUGAUCUAGGCAAUAAUUUUUUGGAUAUGACCCCAAAAGCACAAGCAACAAAGCAAAAAUAGACAAAUGGGAUUGAAUCAAGUUAAAAAGCCUCUCCAUAGCAAAGGAAACAAUAAACAGAGUAAAGAGACAACCUAUGGAGUAGGAGAAAGAACUUGCAAACCAUAUUCCUGAUAAAGAGCUAAUGUCCAAAGUACAUAAGGAACUCAAACCACUCAAUUGCAAGGCAACAAACAACCUGAUUUAAAAAUGUGCAAAAUACCUGAAAAGAUAUUUCUCAAAAGGAAACAUAUAAUGGCCAACACAUAUAUGAAUCACUCUUAUUCACUCAACAUCACUGAUUAUCAGGGAAUUGCAAAUUAAAAUCACAAUAAGAUAUCUUUUCACACCUGUUAGAAAGCUAUUAUCAAAAAGACAAAGGAUAACAAGCGUUGGCGAGGAUGUGGAGAAAAGGGAAUGCUUGUACAUUUGUGGGUAAAUUGGCACAGCUAUUAUGGAGAACAGUAUGGAAGUUCCUCAAAAAAUUAAAAAUAGAGCCACCAUAUUAUCUAGGGAUCCCACUUAUAGGAAUACAUCCAAAAGAAAUGAAAUUAGUAUGUUGAAGAGAUAUUUGCACUCCCAAGUUCAUUGCAGUAUUAUUCACAAUAGCUAUGAUAUGGAAUGAACCCAAGUGUCCACUGAUGGAUGAAUGAAUAAAGAAGAUGUGGUAUAAAUAUACAAUGGAAUACAAUUUGGCCUUAUGAAAAGAAAAUCCUGCCAUUUGUGACAACAUGGAUAAAAUUGGAAUACAUUAUGCUAAGCGAAAUAAGCCAGGCACAGAAAGACAAACACUGAAAGAUCUCACUUACAUGUGGAGUCUAAGAAAGCCAAACUCAUAGAAGCAGAAAGUAGAAUGGUGGUUGCUAGGGUUAAGGCAGAGGAGGGAGAAUGAGAACAUGUUGGAUAAAGGGGGUGUGAACUUUCAGUUAAAUGGAUAAAUAAGUUCUAAAGAACUAUUGUACAGCAUGGUGACUAUAGUUAAUAAUAAUAUAUUACAUACUUGAAAAUUGCUAAGAGAGUGGAUCUUAUGACCAAAACAUAUGUGAGGCAAUAGAUAUGUUAAUUAGCUUGAAUCAAUCAUUUCACAAGAUCUAUCUAUCUAUCUAUCUAUCUAUCUAUCUAUCUAUCUAUCUAUCUAUAUGUCAAAACAUCACAUUAUAUACUGUAAAAUAUAUAAAAUUUUUAUUUGUCAAUUAUACCUUAAUAAAACUGGGAGAAAUUGUUAAGAGGAUAAAUCACAUGUUAAGUGUUCUCACAGCAACAAAAAGCAGAGCAAAACAAAAUGAAACAACAAACAAGAAGCACAAGACAACUUUUGGAGGUGAUGAACAUGUGUAUUACUUUGCGGUGAUGAUUUCACGGGUGUAUGCCUAUGUCCAAACUGAUCGAAUUGUAUCUAUUAAACGUGCAGCUUUUUGUAUAUCAAUUAUACCUCAAUAAAGC